UACCAGCACCCCGAGUGGUCGGGACGAUUAUUGGGCCUAAAGCAUCCGUAGCCGGUCAUGCAAGUCUUCCGUUAAAUCCAGCCGCUCAACUGUUGGGCUGCGGAGGAUACUACGUGGCUAGGAGGCGGGAGAGGCAAGCGGUACUCAGUGGGUAGGGGUAAAAUGCUUUGAUCCAUUGAAGACCACCAGUGGCGAAGGCGGCUUGCCAGAACGCGCUCGACGGUGAGGGAUGAAAGCUGGGGGAGCAAACCGG
rnacentral:rRNA from 1 species